GCCAGGCAUGGUGGUGCAUGCCUGUAAUCCCAGCAGCUCCGGAGGCUGAAGCAGGAGGAUCGUGAAUUCAAAGACAGCCUCAGCAACUUAGCGAGGCCCUAAGCAAAUCAGUGAGACCCUGUCUCUA
rnacentral:sRNA from 1 species